rnacentral:lncRNA from 1 species
UCCCGUAUUAGGGGAGGUUCUUAUUCUUUGGUUAAAUUUACCGGCCUUUUCUCCUUGCUCUUUGGGCAAGAAACGAUGUCUCGGAUUCUAUUACGAAAAGUUAUAACAUAUUUGACACUAUAGACAUACAAAAAAGAGAUUGUGCGAAUAUGACAACGAUGACAUGUGUAAGCCACUAUCUCUACACGCCGGCAUAGGAGAGCAUUUGCAUCCUCUAUUGAACUUUAUAAAACCCUAGCACUUUGUAAUUCGAAACCAUGUUUUGUGGUACCUUUGCUAAACUGAAAAUAACAACUAACGUAAUAUAUAUACUAGACUCGUUUAGGGAAAAAGCCACAACCCAAUCACACGCAUGCUAUCAUUCAUGCAGGCAAACAACUGCCAUGAUUGUAAGCGCUGCCUAGCUUUUUCCCAAUGCCUACAAUUCCAAUACAUAAAAUUACAACCUUACAUGCACCGCGUCCAUACAUCCAUAUGGAUACACACCAUCUAACACAUGUUUCAUCUAUAUAUAUCAUUUCUAGUAACUUUUCAACAACAUACAUAGUAGAGUAGUUGUAUAUAUACCACUCCAGUAGAUAGUGGACUUGGGCAUGUUGCUCUGUUAGCGGUGGUGUAAAGUGUGGUGGUUGAUAUUUGAGAUGCUUUCUUAAAUGUUUUCAUAGGACAACUUCCUAAAAAGUAGAAUGAAUGCCAAAGAUAUUAUUUACAACUUUUAUGAAAAUUAAUGUGAAUGUGCGACACGUCACAUAAUCCAUGGAUAUAUAGAAAAACAAUAUAUAACUACACAAUCACCCCCUACAAAUUAGUUUGUGUUUGUCUUCACAUGCAGGACGUCAUCUUGCAUUAGUUGUCUAGCUGCUCCAUAUUCAACCUUACCAUCCAUUAUCUUUAUAUAACUUCAUCAAACUAUUUCGGAAGCCCGUGGCAACGCACGAGCAUUCUACCAGUUAGUUUUCUUGCCAUCAUGUCACAUGGAAACUAGCAUCUUCUUUUUGCAUUAACUUGUUUUGGGUGGGAUUUACUGAUUUGGCACUCACAAUUAUGAUAUUGCUUGAGUUGCGGUGAGGGUAACUACUUAUUUAUCAUCCCGGUUCAACAACCAAAUGCAGAAUUUACCAAGUAGCACAAUCUCUUAACUUAAACAUUGAUCUUACUCGAGUAGUUUUCUUACUUAAUUUUGGCAUGAGUGUGAAUAUCCAUCUUUAUAUAUCAUAAAUCUCACUCCUAAUAUGUCGUCCUAAGUGCAGUUUAUAAAACUGCAACCAAUGCAUCAAGACAUCGAAUUAACUAUCCAACCAACCUUUGUUUUGAAAGGUCAAGAUUAUAAAUCACGUGUUUCUCCUUCUGGAAUCAACAUCUGNNNNNNNNNNNNNNCUCCUUCUGGAAUCAACAUCUGUUACUACAAGAAUACCUCCUCAUAAAGUAACUAUGUGGAUACCUAACUUACUCUAGUUUUUCAUAAUUUCGACAACAUCUUCCUAAAUGCUCACUCUGUCCUCAAAUAGGCGGCAUAUACAUUGAGUGAAAAAGUCAGUGUUUUUUAAGUUUGCCCAAGCAUAUAUACAAAUCAUUAAGAUAAUCAAUACCAAAUCAAUAUUAACAUACUAUCCACCGUUAGAGAUAUUAUUGUAACAUAUUUAUUUAAUAUUACAGUUGUUCAUAGCUUCUUAUACAUAUUUUGUCAAACUAAUAAAUAAUUGAAUUUAUACACCACAAUGUGAAGAUGGAGGGAGUAACAUAAAAGGUUGCAACAUGUAAUCAACAUUGUACCUGAUCUCUAGGAUUUUGACAAUCGACCACAAGCAUGCAUGCGUACAUGCAUAUAGGCAAACAACUACAUUGUUACAUGCAUAUAGCCAAACGGUCGUUGUUGUCCCCAAUUGUCAUCCAAGACAUGGCCCAAGAUCUAACCAUCCUGACCGAACCUCCACACACACCUUGCUCACACCAAUCAACAUCGCCGGGGGGAGGACGAAAAUGGUGUGAUCUCAAUCCACGCCAUCGCCUCGCAUCACCAACCAAACAUCUAGACUGAGUCCUAAGGACAAUUGAAGCUACACACCAAACUCCAAAGUUGUAG